AACGAACGCUGGCGGCAGGCUUAACACAUGCAAGUCGAGCGCCCCGCAAGGGGAGCGGCAGACGGGUGAGUAACGCGUGGGAACGUACCUUUUGGUUCGGAACAACUCCGGGAAACUGGAGCUAAUACCGGAUAAGCCCUAACGGGGAAAGAUUUAUCGCCGACAGAUCGGCCCGCGUCUGAUUAGCUAGUUGGUGAGGUAACGGCUCACCAAGGCGACGAUCAGUAGCUGGUCUGAGAGGAUGAUCAGCCACACUGGGACUGAGACACGGCCCAGACUCCUACGGGAGGCAGCAGUGGGGAAUAUUGGACAAUGGGCGCAAGCCUGAUCCAGCCAUGCCGCGUGAGUGAUGAAGGCCUUAGGGUUGUAAAGCUCUUUUGUCCGGGAAGAUAAUGACUGUACCGGAAGAAUAAGCCCCGGCUAACUUCGUG
rnacentral:rRNA from 1 species